GCACGUCGCGUGGUGUCCGG
rnacentral:snRNA from 1 species